rnacentral:rRNA from 1 species
UACGGAGGGAGCUAGCGUUGUUCGGAAAUACUGGGCGUAAAGCGCACGUAGGCGGCGCAGCAAGUCAGGGGUGAAAUCCCGGGGCUCAACCCCGGAACUGCCCUUGAAACUGCAGUGCUAGAAUCUUGGAGAGGUCAGUGGAAUUCCGAGUGUAGAGGUGAAAUUCGUAGAUAUUCGGAAGAAUACCAGUGGCGAAGGCGACUGACUGGACAAGUAUUGACGCUGAGGUGCGAAAGCGUGGGGAGCAAACAGG